UAAUAAUAUUAUGAAAAUAAAACCCUAAAUCCCUGCCUUAACCCCCUUCUCUCCCUCUCUCGUCCUUCAUCUCCCCAGCUUUCUCUCUCUCUCAACUCCGGCCAUAGAAGCACGCCUUCCCUCUGUCCUCUGCGGCCGCAGCAACGAUAGACACCAAGCUCGUCGCAUUUCCCUCGUCUCCCUCUCAAUCCCCUCUCUCUCUGACUCAACCAUAGAGCACGCACGCACACCACACCGCGCCUGAAAAUCCUAGAUCUAUAAUCUACAGCCAUCUCCCCGUCGAUUCCUGUCGACCGCACGGCGGGAAGGCCGCCGCCGUCGCGCCCUAGCUUCAAUUUCCGGCAGCGACGCCUUCGUCGGGACCUCCUGUCCCUGGUUGAACAGCAGAGCCUCCGACGCCAAAAGUAGGAACCCUAAUCGGGUCAACCCGAAACGUGACUACGGUGAAAUGGAGUCCAGAUCCGAAUGCAGCCAGAACACCAAGUCAGGUGGUGCCGGAGCGAUGCUCUGGAUGACAUGUGUUUUUCUAAAUCUGAAGCUUGGCGAUUGCCUUACCAGGUGUUCUCUUGUGAAUUCUGAUUUUACCGCUUCCUAUUUCUUUCAUUUUUGUUCCAAUUUUUCUCGAUGUUGCUGUACUGUGUGUAAUAUGUGAAGAAAUAUUGCCAGUGUGCUCAAUUUUAGGAUUCAUUGAUGGUUUCUUGGCAUCCUGUGGUUCGAGAUUGAGACUUCAGAUUUAGUAUUGGCCUAGAUUUUUUCUACUGAUUGUGGAAUAUGGAUGAAUGUUUUCGGUUCAUAGGACUUAUGUUUGGGUAAAUGUUAGUUGUAGAUUUAUAGGCAUUUUUGAAGUGCAAAGAUUCAAUCUUGAAGAGAAUCUCAUUAAAUUCUGACUUUGAAAUCAAUAAAAUUGAUAUGGAUGAUAUAAAGAUUUGAUUUGAUCUUGAAGAGAUAUUUUUUUAUGUCUAUGUAUUUCCGCAAGUUUUUUCUUUCCUUUUUGCCGCUGAUGUUACUUGUUUCUGUCAAUUCUAUCCACAGAUCACCACGCAAAGCUAUAUGGUUUGCGCCUUGGUUGGAUCUUCGGCCGCCUUAUUAAGCAUAUUCAGCGCUGUGACCAUUGUUCAACUGGCAAAACAUGCUACCUAGUCUUACAGAAAAGAAGAGUAACAAAUGACAAGUUGUUGAGCUGCUGAAACUCAUCAAAGUUGGAGCAUGAAGGUGCUUCUGUGAAGUUUCUUCUUUUUUUUUUUCUUUUUUUUUUGAGUUAGGCUCAAAACAUUAUGUAUGAAGGUU